AUUGAACGCUGGCGGCAGGCCUAACACAUGCAAGUCGAGCGGAUGAAGGGAGCUUUCUCCUGUCUUCAGCUGCGGACGGGUGAGUAAUUCCUAGGAAUCUGCCUUGUAUUGGGGGAUAACGUCCGUACACGGGCCCUAAUACCGUAUCCGUUCUUAUGUAGAACUUGGGGGUUCUUUGGACCUCGCGCUUUCUGAUGACCCUAGGUCGGAUUAGCUAGUUGGUGGGGUAAAGGCCUACCAAGGCGACGAUCCGUAACUGGUCUGAGAGGAUGAUCAGUCACACUGGAACUGAGACACGGUCCAGACUCCUACGGGAGGCAGCAGUGGGGAAUAUUGGACAAUGGGCGAAAGCCUGAUCCAGCAAUGCCGCGUGUGUGAAGAAGGUCUUCGGAUUGUAAAGCACUUUAAGUUGGGAGGAAGGGAAGUAAGUUAAUACCUUGAUGUUUUGACGUUACCAACAGAAUAAGCAACGGCUAACUUCGUG
rnacentral:rRNA from 1 species